rnacentral:rRNA from 1 species
UGGGGGAUAUUGCACAAUGGAGGGAACUCUGAUGCAGCGACGCCGCGUGAAGGAAGAAGGCCUUCGGGUCGUAAACUUCUGUCCUUGGGGAAGAAAGAAAUGACGGUACCCUUGGAGGAAGCCCCGGCUAACUACGUGCCAGCAGCCGCGGUAACACGUAGGGGGCGAGCGUUAUCCGGAAUUACUGGGCGUAAAGAGUGCGUAGGUGGCUUUUUAAGCGCGGGGUCUAAGGCUAUGGCCUAACCAUAGUCCGCCCUGCGAACUGGAGAGCUUGAGUACAGGAGGGGAAAGCGGAAUUCCUAGUGUAGCGGUGAAAUGCGUAGAUAUUAGGAGGAACACCAGUGGCGAAGGCGGCUUUCUGGACUGAAACUGACACUGAGGCACGAAAGCGUGGGUAGCAAACAGG